rfam:Microgenomates (Woesebacteria) bacterium GW2011_GWA2_33_28 TR38_C0006, whole genome shotgun sequence.
GCUGGUGUAGCUCAACGGUAGAGCAGUGGUAUCGUAAACCAUCGAUGGCAGUUCAAUUCUUCCCACCAGCU